CAGCAGCCACGGUAAUACGUAGGGUGCAAGCGUUAAUCGGAAUUACUGGGCGUAAAGCGUGCGCAGGCGGUUUUGUAAGACAGAGGUGAAAUCCCCGGGCUCAACCUGGGAACUGCCUUUGUGACUGCAAGGCUAGAGUACGGCAGAGGGGGAUGGAAUUCCGCGUGUAGCAGUGAAAUGCGUAGAUAUGCGGAGGAACACCGAUGGCGAAGGCAAUCCCCUGGGCCUGUACUGACGCUCAUGCACGAAAGCGUGGGGAGCAAACAGGAUUAGAUACCCGUGUAGUCCCUGUCUCUUAUAA
rnacentral:rRNA from 1 species